rfam:Oryzias latipes DNA, chromosome2, strain: Hd-rR.
GUAGUUUAUGUCAGUGGGCAUAUGAGUUUUGUUCAUAUCAGUGUAAUAUCUGAUAUGUCCUCCAGUGGAGGACAACAUAUUAAGCCGAUUUUUGAACAACGGAAGUGAAGGUGGGGCUUGCUCUACUCCAUGCAUUGACCCAGUAUUGCAGUGUUUCUGCCGCGAAGGUGGGACAUUA